rnacentral:rRNA from 1 species
AUUGAACGCUGGCGGCAGGCCUAACACAUGCAAGUCGAACGAGUGGCGGACGGGUGAGUAAUGUCUGGGAAACUGUCCGAUGGAGGGGGAAAACUACUGGAAACGGUAGCUAAUACCGCAUACCAUCGGAUGUGCCCAGAUGGGAUUAGCUAGUAGGUGGGGUAACGGCUCACCUAGGCGAAGACCUCUAGCUGGUCUGAGAGGAUGACCAGGCACACUGGAACUGAGCCACGGUCCAGACUCCUACGGGAGGCAGCAGUGGGGAAUAUUGCACAAUGGGCGCAAGCCUGAUGCAGCCAUGCCGCGUGUAUGAAGAAGGCCUUCGGGUUGUAAAGUACUUUCAGCGAGGAGGCGUUACUCGCAGAAGAAGCACCGGCUAACUCCGUGCCAGCAGCCGCGGUAAUAC